rnacentral:tRNA from 1 species
UGUCUUGUAGUAUAAUAUUCAUAAUACUGUAAACUGCAACUUUACCAAAGCUAAAUAACGCCAAGACAU